rnacentral:rRNA from 1 species
CCUACGGGUGGCAGCAGUGGGGAAUAUUGGACAAUGGGGGCAACCCUGAUCCAGCGAUGCCGCGUGUGUGAAGAAGGCCUGAGGGUUGUAAAGCACUUUCAGUGGGGAGGAGGUCAUAUGGGUUAAGAGCCGAGAUGAUGGACGUUACCCACAGAAGAAGCACCGGCAAACUCUGUGCCAGCAGCCGCGGUAAUACAGAGGGUGCGAGCGUUAAUCGGAAUUACUGGGCGUAAAGCGUGCGUAGGCGGUUUAAUAAGUUAUAAGUGAAAUAGUUGGGCUCAACCUAAUUGCUGUUUAUAAGACUGUUAGACUGGAGUAUAGGAGAGGGUGGUGGAAUUUCCGGUGUAGCGGUGAAAUGCGUAGAGAUCGGAAGGAACACUGGUGGCGAGGCGUCCACCUGGCCUAAUACUGACGCUGAGGCACGAAAGCAUGGGGAGCAAACAGGAUUAGAUACCCGUGUAGUC